CAGUAGCCGCGGUAAUACAGAGGGUGCAAGCGUUAAUCGGAAUUACUGGGCGUAAAGCGCGCGUAGGUGGUUUGUUAAGUUGGAUGUGAAAGCCCCGGGCUCAACCUGGGAACUGCAUCCAAAACUGGCAAGCUAGAGUACGGUAGAGGGUGGUGGAAUUUCCUGUGUAGCGGUGAAAUGCGUAGAUAUAGGAAGGAACACCAGUGGCGAAGGCGACCACCUGGACUGAUACUGACACUGAGGUGCGAAAGCGUGGGGAGCAAACAGGAUUAGAUACCUCGGUAGUCCCUGUCUCUUAUAC
rnacentral:rRNA from 1 species